rnacentral:rRNA from 1 species
UCGAGAAUCUUCGGCAAUGGGCGCAAGCCUGACCGAGCGACGCCGCGUGGAGGACGAAGGCCUUCGGGUUGUAAACUCCUGUCGAGGGGAAGGAAGGGGCCGCGAGGCCCUUGACCGCUCCCUGGAGGAAGCACGGGCUAAGUUCGUGCCAGCAGCCGCGGUAAGACGAACCGUGCGAACGUUAUUCGGAAUCACUGGGCUUAAAGCGCGUGUAGGCGGGGCGGUGCGUCGGUCGCUGAAAUCCCCCGGCUCAACCGGGGAAGGGGCGCCGAGACGACCGCCCUGGAGCGACGUAGGGGGAACUGGAACUUCCGGUGGAGCGGUGAAAUGCGUUGAGAUCGGAAGGAACGCCCGUGGCGAAAGCGAGUUCCUGGACGUCGGCUGACGCUGAGACGCGAAAGCCAGGGGAGCGAACGG